CUCAACUAGGAGAAGUUGCUCAAAACUACCAGGCUGGAGGACGGUAGAGGGAGGUGGAAUUCCCGGUGUAGUAGUGAAAUGCGUAGAUAUCGGGAGGAACACCAAUAGCGAAGGCAGCCUCCUGGGCCGUUCCUGACACUGAGACGCGAAAGCAUGGGGAGCGAACGGGAUUAGAAACCCCGGUAGUCCAUGCCGUAAACGAUGUGGACUUGAUGUCGGCAGCGUAAUAGUUGUCGGUGUCGUAGUUAACGCGGUAAGUCCACCGCCUGGGGAGUACGAUCGCAAGGUUAAAACUCAAAGGAAUUGACGGGGGCCCGCACAAGCAGCGGAGCGUGUGGUUUAAUUCGAUGCAACACGAAGAACCUUACCUGGGCUUGACAUAUAAGUGGUAGGGAUCCGAAAGGUGACCGACCCCUCGGGGAGCU
rnacentral:rRNA from 1 species